rnacentral:rRNA from 1 species
GUGCAGCAGUCGAGAAACCUUCGCAAUGCGGGAAACCGCGACGAGGGGACUCCCAGUGCCUACGCUCAGCGUAGGCUGUUCCCGAGCCUAGAAAGCUCGGGGAGUAAGGGCUGGGUAAGACGGGUGCCAGCCGCCGCGGUAAUACCCGCAGCCCGAGUGGUGGCCACUAUUAUUGGGCCUAAAGCGUCCGUAGCCGGCCCGGUAAAUGCCUGGGUAAAUCGUGAGGCCUAACCUCACGAAUUCCGGGUAGACUGCCGGGCUAGGGACCGGAGGAGGGAGAGGGUACUCCAGGGGUAGGGGUGAAAUCCUGUAACCCCUGGAGGACCACCGGUGGCGAAGGCGCUCUCCUAGGACGGGUCCGACGGUGAGGGACGAAAGCCAGGGGAGCGAACCGGAUUAGAUACCCGUGUAGU